CCGAAGAAGCUGUGAGAAGUUCAUUAAACCUUAUCAUUUAGAGGAAGGAGAAGUCGUAACAAGGUUUCCGUAGGUGAACCUGCGGAAGGAUCA
rnacentral:rRNA from 1 species